CACGUAGGGCGCGAGCGUUGUCCGGAAUUAUUGGGCGUAAAGAGCUCGUAGGCGGCCUGUUGCGUCCGCUGUGAAAGCCCGGGGCUUAACCCCGGGUCUGCAGUGGAUACGGGCAGGCUAGAGGUAGGUAGGGGAGAAUGGAAUUCCCGGUGUAGCGGUGAAAUGCGCAGAUAUCAGGAGGAACACCGGUGGCGAAGGCGGGUCUCUGGGCCGAUACUGACGCUGGAGGAGCGAAAGCUAGGGGAGCAAACGGG
rnacentral:rRNA from 1 species